rnacentral:tRNA from 1 species
GGCCUCGUGGCGGAGCGAUUACGCGGGGGACUACAAAUCCCCACAGGAGGGGUUUAAGUCCCUUCCGAGGCCUCCA